rnacentral:lncRNA from 1 species
AUAUUAUCAGUGCAAAGAGAUUACAAUUUACAUAUCUCUUUAGUGGGUUUUUAUUGGAGCUCCUUUAAAAUUGCUUUUACUAUCUCAAACAAAUUUCCAAAAUACUUUAUACACACAUAGAAAUCAUUUAUCUGUUGGUUACAUCUAAAUAAAAACCCCAUAAAUUUAUUGAAUAUGAAGCAAUUAUAUCCAAUAACACAAUUAACAUUCAUAUAGCACAUUUUAUGCUAAGCACUUUUGCAAUCAUGUGAUCUUUAAAACAACUAUUGUUUCUCUUUACAAAUCAGAAAACUGGGCAGAGAUAAAAUAAUUUGCCAUAAAUUAUAUAGCUAAUACAUUUACACAACUGAGACAGAGAACGGAAUGCUUACCAAAUGCAGAGACUCACUGGCUUUUUCACCUCACAUUGCCAUGCUGGAUGUUGCCAGGGAUACCUGAAUUCUUCUCAGGCUGUUCCUGGACAGAACCUGCUGAAAGCUGGGCUCAGCCCCAAGAGCAAACCAGCUCACACACAGACGGGCCUUGUUGGGACCAGCCACGCCAUAUAAAUUUUCUGGUGGAGCAGCGGGUAGCUGACCCCGGCUGGGACAGGGCUUUUUCUUAAGCCCACAGCACCUCCACGCCUCCAGGGGAAGCCGGCUUUGCUGGAACUCAGCUUUCUGAGUGUGUGCUGCCAGAGAAAAGGUAAAAGGAGGAGAGGAGAGGGACGGAAGAAGAGGGCACAUGUCCCCUGAUGGGUACGAAUGAGAUCAUGGAAACAGAUGAUGUUGGGCCAUGAGUCACUCACCACCCAAAGAGUGUUUUAGAGGUCGGUAGAUAAUGGGGACUUGAUGAGAUAAUGAUGGUAAUAUAAAUAUAAAUAUAAUUUAUUUAAUAUAUAAUUAUGUACACAAUUAUAUAUAAAUAUAUUUUAUAAUAUAAACAUAUAAAUUUAAAUAUAAUUUAUAUAAAUAUCAACAUCAUCACUUAAUUUCUAAGUGAUCUGAGACAAUGAACAUAAUCUAUAUGCCGUAUAUAAUUCUUAAUGUAUCUUUUAACAUAUCAUCUUUUACUUUAAAUUACAGCCUUAUCUGGAUUUUUACAUCUAAAGGAGACUAACUACCCAUUCCAUCACUGCAUCCUGCCCCUGACUCUUAUUUCUUUUGUAGGUGAGACUCCUCACCAGAUUGCAAGGGGUGACAGUUCUGAUCUCCAGCCUCAGAAUCUGAGGGCAUCUUGGCCAAUAAUGGAGGAAUCCAGCCCUGAUGCUUUAUUGUCCUGACUGGAUCAUGUUUUAAGGGUACACCAAGAGUGGCAAAAGGAGAACCAAGAACAAAUCCGCUGGCAUGGAAGCACUUGCUACCACAAGGACCCUAAGCAUGAUUCCUGAAAAGGCAAAUUAAUUUCGAGUCCUUCUACUCACCCUCAGAUGCCACUAUUUCAACUUAGGGCUCCUUUCUCCUGCUCUGCAAAGAGACCCCCCCACACUGUUUCUCCUCCUUUCCCACCUAGUACCAACUUAUCCAGGAUACUAGAGCACAGGCAACUCAAACAAUUAGCCCCAAGAGUAGAUGGCCUGCCCAGGGAACAAUGACAUGACUUAAACCAGUGCUUCUCAGAGUAUAGUCCAGAGAAUCCCGGGAGUCUCCAAAGCCUUAUCACAGGAUCUACAAAUUCAAACUAAUUUUAUAUGAUAUGAUAAAUAUCUAUAAAUAUAACCCACAUAAGCAAAAACUCUUGGACAAAUCCUCCAUGAUUUUUAAUAGUAUAAAGAUACUAAGAACAAAAGUUUGAGGAUCACUGAUCUAUACUUUGGAGACAGAGGGAGAGGAGAAAGCAUUGUCUGAAAAUGGGAUUGGAAGACCUGCAUCUGGGCACCUAAAGGCAGAAGGAGGGAAAGAUGUAGUCCAAUGAAUACUCAGGCAGAAGAGAGAAGGGAAGGAGCUUGGGGAAAAGCCAAUACUGGGGCUCCACCUAGAAGAAGGGGAAUUAGGAGUAAAAGGUCUUCAAAGUCUAUUUACCUGCAUCGUGUUGUUACUGUUAUCACAUGAAUUUUCUGGACUAAACACAUUUGUUAUAAGGAUGUGAUUGGGGUGGGCGUGGGGAACAGGUUGGUGGGUAGUAAUAGGUAUACGCAAAUAAAUAAAAUGCAUUAAUAAUAUCAAUA